rnacentral:rRNA from 1 species
UACGGAGGGAGCUAGCGUUGUUCGGAAUUACUGGGCGUAAAGCGCACGUAGUCGGCUUUGUAAGUUAGAGGUGAAAGCCUGGGGCUCAACUCCAGAACUGCCUUUAAAACUGCAUCGCUUGAAUCCAGGAGAGGUGAGUGGAAUUCCGAGUGUAGAGGUGAAAUUCGUAGAUAUUCGGAAGAACACCAGUGGCGAAGGCGGCUCACUGGACUGGUAUUGACGCUGAGGUGCGAAAAGCG